rnacentral:rRNA from 1 species
AUUGAACGCUGGCGGCAUGCCUUACACAUGCAAGUCGAACGGUAACAGGUUAAGCUGACGAGUGGCGAACGGGUGAGUAAUAUAUCGGAACGUGCCCAGUCGUGGGGGAUAACGUAGCGAAAGCUACGCUAAUACCGCAUACGAUCUACGGAUGAAAGCGGGGGAUCGCAAGACCUCGCGCGAUUGGAGCGGCCGAUAUCAGAUUAGGUUGUUGGUGAGGUAAAAGCUCACCAAGCCUGGGAUCUGUAGCUGGUCUGAGAGGGCGACCAGCCACACUGGAACUGAGACACGGUCCAGACUCCUACGGGAGGCAGCAGUGGGGAAUUUUGGACAAUGGACGCAAGUCUGAUCCAGCAAUGCCGCGUGCAGGACGAAGGCCUUCGGGUUGUAAACUGCUUUUGUACAGAACGAAAAGGUUUCUACUAAUACUAGGAGCUCAUGACGGUACUGUAAGAAUAAGCACCGGCUAACUACGUGCCAGCAGCCGCAGUAA